UACGUAGGGUGCGAGCGUUGUCCGGAAUUAUUGGGCGUAAAGAGCUCGUAGGCGGCCUGUCGCGUCGGUUGUGAAAGCCCCGGGGCUUAACCCCGGGGUCUGCAGUCGGAUACGGGCAGGCUAGAGUUCGGUAGGGGGAGAUCGGAAUUCCUGGUGUAGCGGUGAAAUGCGCAGAUAUCAGGAGGAACACCGGUGGCGAAGGCGGAUCUCUGGACCGAGACUGACGCUGAGGCGCGAAAGCGUGGGGAGCGAACAGG
rnacentral:rRNA from 1 species